AGAGUUUGAUCCUGGCUCAGGAUGAACGCUGACAGAAUGCUUAACACAUGCAAGUCUACUUGAAUUUGGGUUUUUAACUUAGGUUUGGGUGGCGGACGGGUGAGUAACGCGUAAAGAACUUGCCUCACAGCUAGGGACAACAUUUGGAAACGAAUGCUAAUACCUGAUAUUAUGAUUAUAGGGCAUCCUAGAAUUAUGAAAGCUAUAUGCGCUGUGAGAGAGCUUUGCGUCCCAUUAGCUAGUUGGAGAGGUAACGGCUCACCAAGGCGAUGAUGGGUAGCCGGCCUGAGAGGGUGAACGGCCACAAGGGGACUGAGACACGGCCCUUACUCCUACGGGAGGCAGCAGUGGGGAAUAUUGGACAAUGGACCAAGAGUCUGAUCCAGCAAUUCUGUGUGCACGAUGAAGUUUUUCGGAAUGUAAAGUGCUUUCAGUUGGGAAGAAAGAAAUGACGGUACCAACAGAAGAAGUGACGGCUAAAUACGUGCCAGCAGCCGCGGUAAUACGUAUGUCACAAGCGUUAUCCGGAUUUAUUGGGCGUAAAGCGCGUCUAGGUGGUUAUGUAAGUCUGAUGUGAAAAUGCAGGGCUCAACUCUGUAUUGCGUUGGAAACUGUGUAACUAGAGUACUGGAGAGGUAAGCGGAACUACAAGUGUAGAGGUGAAAUUCGUAGAUAUUUGUAGGAAUGCCGAUGGGGAAGCCAGCUUACUGGACAGAUACUGACGCUGAAGCGCGAAAGCGUGGGUAGCAAACAGGAUUAGAUACCCUGGUAGUCCACGCCGUAAACGAUGAGUGCUAAGU
rnacentral:rRNA from 1 species